rnacentral:rRNA from 1 species
GACGAACGCUGGCGGCGUGCUUAACACAUGCAAGUCGAACGGUAAGGCCCCAGCUUGCUGGGGUACACGAGUGGCGAACGGGUGAGUAACACGUGGGUGACCUGCCCCGCACUUCGGGAUAAGCCUGGGUAACUGGGUCUAAUACCGGAUAGGACCGCACCGUGAGGGUGUGGUGGAAAGUUUUUCGGUGUGGGAUGGGCCCGCGGCCUAUCAGCUUGUUGGUGGGGUAAUGGCCUACCAAGGCGGCGACGGGUAGCCGGCCUGAGAGGGUGGACGGCCACAUUGGGACUGAGACACGGCCCAGACUCCUACGGGAGGCAGCAGUGGGGAAUAUUGCACAAUGGGCGGAAGCCUGAUGCAGCGACGCCGCGUGGGGGAUGACGGCCUUCGGGUUGUAAACUCCUUUCACCAUCGACGAAGGUUUUCUGACGGUAGAUGGAGAAGAAGCACCGGCUAACUACGUG